rnacentral:misc_RNA from 1 species
AUACCUCAACUCUCAUGGCUUGCCAUGAUGAGCUUGGACUUUGGGGGUCUUGUUGGCCUGUGAGCCAGCUCCUCCUAAAUGAAUUAGCUUGCCGGUGUUUGGUGGCAUCACAGGUGUGAUAACUAUCUACGCUUGUGGUUUCCCCGCCAGGUAAUCUUCAGCAAUGGAGGUUCACUGGAGCUUAUAAACGUCUCUCCUCAGCGAGGACAAUUUGACC